rnacentral:rRNA from 1 species
GGGACCCGCACAAGUAGCGGAGCAUGUGGUUUAAUUCGAAGCAACGCGAAGAACCUUACCUAAGCUUGACAUCCCAAUGACAUCUCCUUAAUCGGAGAGUUCCCUUUGGGGACAUUGGUGACAGGUGGUGCAUGGUUGUCGUCAGCUCGUGUCGUGAGAUGUUGGGUUAAGUCCCGCAACGAGCGCAACCCUUGUCUUUAGUUGCCAUCAUUA